rnacentral:rRNA from 1 species
AACGAACGCUGGCGGCAUGCCUAACACAUGCAAGUCGAACGAGACCUUCGGGUCUAGUGGCGCACGGGUGCGUAACGCGUGGGAACCUGCCCUUAGGUUCGGAAUAACUCCCCGAAAGGGGUGCUAAUACCGGAUAAUGUCUUCGGACCAAAGAUUUAUCGCCUUUGGAUGGGCCCGCGUUGGAUUAGCUAGUUGGUAGGGUAAAAGCCUACCAAGGCGACGAUCCAUAGCUGGUCUGAGAGGAUGAUCAGCCACACUGGGACUGAGACACGGCCCAGACUCCUACGGGAGGCAGCAGUGGGGAAUAUUGGACAAUGGGCGAAAGCCUGAUCCAGCAAUGCCGCGUGAAUGAUGAAGGCCUUAGGGUUGUAAAGCUCUUUUACCCGGGAUGAUAAUGACAGUACCGGGAGAAUAAGCUCCGGCUAACUCCGU